rnacentral:rRNA from 1 species
GAUGAACGCUGGCGGCGUGCCUAAUACAUGCAAGUCGAGCGAACAGAUAAGGAUCUUGCUCCUUUGACGUUAGCGGCGGACGGGUGAGUAACACGUGGGUAACCUACCUAUAAGACUGGGAUAACUUCGGGAAACCGGCGCUAAUACCGGAUAACAUUUGGAACCGCAUGGUUCUAAAGUGCAAGAUGGUUUUGCUAUCACUUCUAGAUGGACCCGCGCCGUAUUAGCUAGUUGGUAAGGUAACGGCUUACCAAGGCGACGAUACGUAGCCGACCUGAGAGGGUGAUCGGCCACACUGGAACUGAGACGCGGUCCAGACUCCUACGGGAGGCAGCAGUAGGGAAUCUUCCGCAAUGGGCGAAAGCAUGACGGAGCAACGCCGCGUGAGUGAUGAAGGGUUUCGGCUCGUAAAACUCUGUUAUUAGGGAAGAACAAAUGUGUAAGUAACUGUGCACGUCUUGACGGUACCUAAUCAGAAAGCCACGGCUAACUACGUG